GUGAGUAACAAUGUGAAGGGCAGCAUAAGGUAAGAAUUCUUGGUUAUCUCGCUCCGUUAUGUAAUUAAGUCAUCACCUUUUGCAAAUUUCAUUACACACCUUUCUAAUUCUCACCUGGUCGAUAUUUCACAAAGGUAACGCAGAUACGACUCUUCAUAAAGGUAAUUAAUGUUAAGAAUUCUUCGUUAUCUCGCUCCGUUGUGUCCGUGAAGUCAUCGAGGGUUGUCACUUUUUGCAUUUUGUUAAGACACCUUUGUAAUCUCACCUGAUCAAUAUUUCGGAAAGGUAAUGCAGAGAUAAGUGAUUCAUGGUGUUAAGUGCAGCGUAAGUUAAGAUAUCUUCGUACUAACCUUCUGCAAAUUGUUAAAACUGUCACCCCCUUGCAUGUAUAUAUAAGUAUUAGGUGAGCGUCGCAGGUCCUUGGGAAUCAGCGCGUCCCAGAUCGUUUACCGAGAUUGUUGGCGUAAUGAGAAGUGGAUAUUUAUGUGGAGAAAGUCGUCUUAAGCUCUUUCGUCUCCUUAUCCUUCCCUCGGCCUCUCACUGUAGAAUGGAUCAAUAUUUUUCCUGUCACCAAUCCCAAAAUUUCCAGAUCGUUUACUGAGAUUGUUGGCGUAAUGAGAAGUGGAUAUUUAUGUGGAGAAAGUCGUCUUAAGCUCUUUCGUCUCCUUAUCCUUCCCUCGGCCUCUCACUGUAGAAUGGAUCAACUUUUUCCUGUCACCAAUCCGCAAAAUUCCCAAAUCGUUUACUGAGAUUGUUGGCGUAAUGAGAAGUGGAUAUUUAUGUGGAGAAAGUCGUCUUAAGCUCUUUCGUCUCCUUAUCCUUCCCUCGGCCUCUCACUGUAGAAUGGAUCAACUUUUUCCUGUCACCAAUCCGCAAAAUUCCCAAAUCGUUUACCGAGAUUGUUGGCGUAAUGAGAAGUGGAUAUUUAUGUGGAGAAAGUCGUCUUAAGCUCUUUCGUCUCCUUAUCCUUCCCUCGGCCUCUCACUGUAGAAUG